CCACCACAACUCAUCACUCAAUAUCGGUUUGGUGAUAUUAACAUUUUUUUUUUAUUGUUUUUCUAUUCUAUUUGAGUCAGAUUCUUGAAGAGCCCAGAUUUGAUACUUCAACCUUGCUCAAGUAAUACUUCAAGGAAUGGUGUAGCAACAUUGAUUCCACCAUCCAGAUGCAGCUUCUUGGGAAGGCAACUCAAAUGUUGAAUCAGUAAGAAACAGUCAACUUUCAUUUAUACUAGUUACUAAACUUUGUGGUAUAAAUAUUG